rnacentral:rRNA from 1 species
AGAGUUUGAUCCUGGCUCAGAAUGAACGCUGGCGGCGUGCUUAACACAUGCAAGUCGAACGAGAAAGGGGUGGCAACACCCCGAGUAAAGUGGCGCACGGGUGAGUAGCGCGUAGGUGACCUGCCUUCGGGUUAGGGAUAACAGGGCGAAAGCUCUGCUAAUACCGGAUGAGACUGCUUUGGCAGUGAAAGGGUGCGAUUCUUUUCGGGGAAGCAUCCGCCUGGGGAGGGGCCUGCGUCCUAUCAGCUAGUUGGUGGGGUAACGGCUCACCAAGGCAACGACGGGUAGCUGGUCUGAGAGGAUGAUCAGCCACACUGGCACUGACACACGGGCCAGACUCCUACGGGAGGCAGCAGUGAGGAAUUUUGCGCAAUGGGGGAAACCCUGACGCAGCAACGCCGCGUGGGUGAUGAAGGCCUUCGGGUCGUAAAGCCCUGUCGGGCGGGAAGAAAGUAUUGGGGGCAAAUAGCCUUUGGUAUUGACGGUACCGCCAGAGGAAGCACCGGCUAACUCCGUGCCAGCAGCCGCGGUAAUACGGAGGGUGCGAGCGUUAUUCGGAAUUACUGGGCGUAAAGCGCGUGCAGGCGGAAGGAGCAGUCUGAUGUGAAAGCCCGGGGCUUAACCCCGGAAGAGCAUUGGAAACCAUCCUUCUUGAGUGCUGGAGAGGAAGGGGGAAUUCCCGGUGUAGAGGUGAAAUUCGUAGAGAUCGGGAGGAAUACCAGUGGCGAAGGCGCCCUUCUGGACAGUCAAACUGACGCUGAGACGCGAAAGCGUGGGGAGCAAACAGGAUUAGAUACCCUGGUAGUCCACGCUGUAAACGAUGAGAACUAGGUGUAGCGGGUACUCAUUCCUGCUGUGCCGCAGCUAACGCGUUAAGUUCUCCGCCUGGGGAUUACGGUCGCAAGACUAAAACUCAAAGGAAUUGAUGG